rnacentral:rRNA from 1 species
GAUGAACGCUGGCGGCGUGCCUAAUACAUGCAAGUCGAGCGAACGGACGAGAAGCUUGCUUCUCUGAUGUUAGCGGCGGACGGGUGAGUAACACGUGGAUAACCUACCUAUAAGACUGGGAUAACUUCGGGAAACCUGAUCUAAUACCGGAUAAUAUUUUGAACCGCAUGGUUCAACAGUGAAAGACGGUCUUGCUGUCACUUAUAGAUGGAUCCGCGCUGCAUUAGCUAGUUGGUAAGGUAACGGCUUACCAAGGCAACGAUGCAUAGCCGACCUGAGAGGGUGAUCGGCCACACUGGAACUGAGACACGGUCCAGACUCCUACGGGAGGCAGCAGUAGGGAAUCUUCCGCAAUGGGCGAAAGCCUGACGGAGCAACGCCGCGUGAGUGAUGAAGGUCUUCGGAUCGUAAAACUCUGUUAUUAGGGAAGAACAUAUGUGUAAGUAACUGUGCACAUCUUGACGGUACCUAAUCAGAAAGCCACGGCUAACUACGUG